CUACGGGCGGCAGCAGCCGCGAAACCUUUACAAUGCACGAAAGCGUGAUAAGGGAAUCCGAAGUGCCUACCUUUUGGGUAGGCUUUUGCUAAGUGUAAGAAGCUUUGUGAAUAAGUGGUGGGCAAUACUGGUGCCAGCAGCCGCGGUAACCCCAGAGCCACAAGUGGCAAUCUUGAUUAUUGGGCCUAAAGGAUCCGUAGCCGAUUUGAUAACUCUUUUUUGAAAUUGUUGAACUUAAUUCAACAUCGAGCAAGAGAAACUAUUAAGUUAGAGACCGGGAAGAGACAGAAGUAUUCUAUGGGAAGCGGUAAAAUGCUUUAAUCCUUAGAAGACUACCUAUGGCGAAGGCAUCUGUCUAGAACGGGUCUGACGGUGAGGGAUGAAGGCUAGGAGAACGAUCCGGAUUAGAUACCCCCGUAGUC
rnacentral:rRNA from 1 species